rnacentral:tRNA from 1 species
UCCCAGCUGGCUCAGUUGGUAGAGCAUGUGACUCUAUCUCAAGGUUGUGAGUUUGAACCCCACAUUGGAAA